rnacentral:rRNA from 1 species
CGUGGGUAACCUGCCUUAUAGUGGGGGAGUAGCCUUUCGAAAGGAAGAUUAAUACCGCAUAAGAUUGUAGUAUCGCAUGAUAUAGCAAUUAAAAGGAGCAAUUCGCUAUAAGAUGGACCCGCGUCGCAUUAGCUAGUUGGUGAGGUAAUGGCUCACCAAGGCGACGAUGCGUAGCCGACCUGAGAGGGUGAUCGGCCACAUUGGGACUGAGACACGGCCCAGACUCCUACGGGAGGCAGCAUG